rnacentral:sRNA from 1 species
UGAUACAAGGGUCAAGAGUUCUGACUUGUUGAUCCGCUCACACAUGAGGAAGUAGCGAUUUCCUUUGGAAAUCAGCGGAUUUUGAAUGUGUGUAGAAUUGUGGGAGUUGCGUAGCAACGGAGCAAUUCGUGUAUCA